rnacentral:lncRNA from 1 species
CUCAAGUCCCGAAGAAGUUCUUGCCUCACUGGGUUGCAAUUGGGCCAGUUCCAAACACCUACUCAUUGGCGGCAAUUACUCAAAGCACAUCAUUUUUUUUUGGCUUGGUGUACCCUCAAAAAUUUGUAAAGUCUUCAUCUUACCCUUUUCAUCUCACUCGCUCUCUUCAUCUCUCCAUCUUCCUCUUCACCACAGUGGCACUUGUGCAGAUCCUCUCGACUGGAAUGGUGGCGGCUUCGAUCAAACCACAAUGAUGAUUUUCAAGGAGCAUUAUGGUUGCUUAAACACAAAUUGGUAUCUAUUACAUAUUGAGUAAUUCAUAAUAAAAAAAUACAUUAUGGAUUGAAUAAUCCGUAAUACAAAUAUAUUAUGAAAUGCCCAAUCUAAAACUAUAUUGUGGAGGUGACGGGUUUAUAUUCUCUUUCUUUUAUUUGAUGAAGUAGAGCGAGCUUAUAUGCUUUUCAUUUAGGGGACUUUUGGUACAAGGAUUUUUGUUUCUCAUUAAGGGAAUGGUUUUUCGCAAAAGAAGUAAGAAUCUCUAUCCACCUUUGAUUUGAUGAUAAUUGUAUCAUCCUUGCCUUUCCACCUUUGACUUUGUAAAGACAAAUAUCAUACGAAGGGGAGGGGUUGAAUUGUGAUUUAUUACAAAAGAUUAAUUCUUUUCCAGAAAACAAGAUUUUUUGUUUGUAUAGACAACUUUGUAAGAAAGACAAUUUUUUUAUCACAAGAAAACUUCAAAUGAUGAGGAAAAAUGAAUUUUUAGAAAUGCAGAUUAUCUUAUACCUUUUGAAACGCAAUUCAAAUUCAACUUCAGUUAAUCAAAUAGAAAGGGAGAAAUAAUAGAUAGACACAAAGAUUUUAUAUUGAUUCAUCUCUACCACGGAGAUUAAUUUAGUUUUUAGUAAACUACCAAGUUCUACUAAUUUUUUCACAAGUUACAAGUAUUAUGUCAUAACCACUUUUGGCUCUUACAAAUCAAACUUUAUCCCAAGUUUGAUCAACAUCCAGUAUUCUUUCUUCUAUCAAGCCAUUAGACGAAAUUUAUGAUGAAAGAUGACUCAAAGACUAACACUCAAUUGUCUUACAAACACAUAAAUUAUCUAAGCAUAUAACCUUUUUCUCUCAAGAUGUUCAAGGUGUUUUGAGAGUUUUAUAAUUUUAUAAGAAAAUAUUCAGAAAGACUUGUUGAAGAAGAAGAGUAAGAGAAAAUUAUGCGUAGAAGAUAAACUCUAUCAAUCUUCAAAAACUUAUGGUUUAUAUAAGCCUUCGACUUUAGAGAUAUGUUGUCUCAUGACGAGUAGGUGUUGCUUUUAUCUUUCGUCUAAUAAAGAAAGGAGGUCGUUGGGUGCAUUUAAUGCAUGUCUUUUCUUCAUACAGAGAGUUCUACCUUUAAAGCUUGUGUGUACAAAAGAUUGAUCACAUCUUUGUGUGAGAGCAAGUCAUGUAUAACAAAAGUUCGUAUUUCUAAUGGUAUAUCUUAUCUUGACUUCAUUUAUUUUUCAUAAAUUUCGAUAGAUCUUAAGAAAAUAUUUUUAUAGACAGAAUUUCAGACAGAGAAUAAUAAAUGAAGUAUUAAAUAUUAUACACAAUAUCAAAUUUUGAUGUUAUCUACCUAUCGUUUGAAAAUAUCAUACGCACAUCAUAUAACAUAUUCUCUUUAUAUUUGUUUACAUCUAAUUAAAAUAAUUAUGGAUCUUAAGCGGUCUUUUAGGCAGAAACGUCUUUGGACUCAAUAGACUCUCUAUCAAAGUACCACAAACAAAGUUGCACGCUGAUCUGGUGGAAGGAGGUGGCAACGCAACAGGGAGGGAAGGUGGUGGGAGAGAGGAGGAAGAAGGUUAAAAAGAAUAUUAGAGAAUUAGGAGGUGUACCAAGCAAGAAAUGGGGUGAGUUAAGUACUUUUCUUCAUUGGCCCAUAUGCAGUAAGACGAGGCCCAGUAGCCCAUAGCCACGAACAACUAACUCCAAACCCUAACUCAAUAAAUUCCCCCAAUCCCCAAACCCUAAUCCU